rnacentral:rRNA from 1 species
GCAUGCAGUCGAACGAGAAAGGUCCCUUCGGGGGCUGAGUAGAGUGGCGAACGGGACAGUAACACGUGGGAAACCUGCCCUGCAGUGGGGGAUAACACUUCCAACGAGGUGCUAAUACCGCAUACGACCGCCGGUCGCAUGGCCGGCUGGUGAAAGGUGGCCUCUGCUUGCAAGCUGCCGCUGCUGGAUGGUCCCGCGCCCGAUUAGCUUGUUGGCGGGGUAACGGCCCACCAAGGCUACGAUCGGUAGGCGACCUGAGAGGGUGACCGCCGUCACUGGGACUGAGAUACGGCCCAGACUCCUACGGGAGGCAGCAGUCGAGAAGCUUCGGCAAUGGGCGAAAGCCUGACCGAGCGACGCCGCGUGAGCGAUGAAGGCCCUAGUGGUCGUAAAGCUCUGUCAGAUUGGGAACAAAUCCCGGGGGCGAACAACCCCCGGUGCUGAGGGUACCGUCAGAGGAAGCACCGGCUAACUCCGUGCCAGCAGCCGCGGUAAUACAGGGGGUGCGAGCGUUGUUCGGAUUCUCUGG